CUACUAUGCACAGCUAGCCUCCUACAACAAAAACUCACCUGGCUCCUGCUAUCAAUAGUGCAGAUGUUGAAAAACACUGGCUAGAAGGAAUGCCUGCCUCACUGGAAUGUGUGAUGCCUACUCCACCGCUGGUUUGUCUUCAAGGAGCCUUUUGCUGGUCAACUCACCAAUAAAUCCACUAGGAGAUCUCUCCCAUUAAUAGCUGUUUGUACCCUCAUUUACAUCUGUCUGCCCCCUCACAUGUUUGCAUGCCACAAGUAAUGGUGGUCUGCUCAACCUUCAUUCCUAACUCUGCACUUCAUCUGCAGGUUGGCCAUACUCAAGAACCUGAAGGUGCUCAGGAUCUGCUUCAUGAUCUCCGUGGCUAUCCCUUUCACUUUCCGGUGAAGUAAAGGCUUUCUCAUUACUAGAAACCAUCCAAGUUAACUAGGCCAUACAAUUACAAUGUCAUUGCUACUACCACCUAUGAAGCAGUAUAGUUUAUUUAAUAAAACAAAACCUAAGACCUCUAAGUUAUUAGCCCUGAAGGAGAAGCAGUAAGUCGGGAGGACUUGUCUACUGAAGGACAAAAACAAACUCCCAAAUCAAUGGAGAG
rnacentral:lncRNA from 10 species